AGGGACUUAGGAUAAUAAUACAGACCAAGGGCCUUCAAAGCCCUAAGUAGAAGUUAAAGCCUUCUAGUCCCUG
rnacentral:tRNA from 1 species